AAUUGCUAGAUGGGGGAACUAACUAACAUGCCCCCUGCAAAUGUGCUGUUCCCCAGCUGUUACCUAAAAGCAAGUGCUGUGGGUAGAAUACACUGCUCCUGUUUUGAACCAGCUGUAAGGAGCAACACCAAAUCUGUUGCCCCGGAACCUGCCUUGUGUGUGCAGAAUGGAUAAGUACAUGCUAUAUUGCAUAUAAGGUAUUGCACUAUUCACCCACCAAAGAAUGAUAUGCAACAGUUGACGUGAUUGUCUGCUCAACUCCUUAGCCAAAGAAGGAAAAUGAACCACAGUUCUAUAGUCUUAAUAGACUUUUAAUGGAUUUAAGGGACUUCUACACCAACACCCCGUAAUGGGGAAUCCAAAAAAAGAAGAAACAUCCCUCAUGCAAAGAUUCCUUAGGCAAAGAGGAUCUGAAGAGCACAUGCUUCCACCUGCAAGGCUUUCAUACCAUGGAAGAGAGAACUCAAGCUCCUGAGACAAAGUCAGCUAUUUUUCUGAAAAGGACAUUGCACCUUCAUUGGUUAAAACCUAAGAAGCAUGUAUUUAUGCCCUAGUUUCUUCCUGCCCCAUCAACAUAUUAUUGUCAUAAUUCCCUCUGACUUCUGCAGCAGCCUUUAUUAGAAAAAAGCAAAGAUACCUGACAGCAGAUUUUAACUUUGUCAGUGAGGUCUCUGAACAGAGCUACUCUAACUGAAUGACCACAGAACUGAUGAAGAAGAGGAGCAGAGGCUGAGGUUGGAAGUCUCUUGAAAUGCAAUUGGCUGCCUCUGUUACUUAACUGUCAGGCCUGGAGUGGGAACAUCACUGGAUUUUGGCUGGUUCUGCUCUGUAAUAUAACUGGAGUGAAGAUCAAAUAUUACUUGCCUGUUAUCGAUGUCAAGGCAAAGUCUAAAAGUCUCUUUGUUAUAUCCAUAAAGGCAACAGCAAUGGGAUGUGUUUGUUCUAUAUUCAUUUAGCCUUGGCUUUGUCAUUUGUAUUGUCUUUUAAUGUCUUGAGAUAUAUGCUGGCUUACAAAUUAAAUCUUACACUAUA